ensembl:lncRNA
GGCUGUGUGCUAAACAAAUGUACCAGUGCUAAACUAUAGUUCCAAACACAUUUCGAAUCCUAAACUUCAGUUUGGAGCGAAUUCAUUUGUGAAAAUGAUGGUUUUCAAGCAUGUUUCCGUCUCAGAGUGCAUCCAGCUCUUUAAAGCAUCUCCGUGUCUGAGCGACCUGCCAGCAGGCUGUAGUGACUGCUCUGCACCGCCGCGUCUCCCUGGAUCUUCAGCCCUUUGUCAAAGGCAGGGGUCGCCGGGGUGCCGGACCCUGAGGAAACAGUAUCUCGUGCUUCCCCUCGAGCACUUCCUGUGCGUGUCACUCAAGAGCCGGGCUCGUGUCUCUGAUCAAAGGCCACGAACAGGAGCAGACGACAGGGUGACGCUGACACGUCUCGCGCUGAAGGAUGUCCUGAACGGGUGGGUGAACUGGGAAUAGCCCCUGCAUCCUCAGCCCAGUAACCCUGCAGCAGUGCUGACCGUCACCAUGGCAACUCAUGCCCAGGUCUAGUGGAAAGGAUUGAAGGCGAUAGUAUGGUCAGGGUCUGAUGUCCAGCACAGUCUCACUUCAUCACAUUAAUCCAGCCACGGAUACGGACACGUUUCACAUCCGUCCAACACAAUCACCAUCCUUGGCAAUUACAUUACAAGUGUAGGAGUUUGAGGAUGCUUGAGUCUAUACUUGCAAAUUAAAUUAAUAAACUCGUUUGAGGAAAAACUGAUCGCUGGAUCUGAAAAUAUUCACCAGAUGAGUUGAAUCUUCCUCCCG